rnacentral:rRNA from 1 species
GGGGGGGGGGGGGGGGGGGGGGGGGGGGGGGGGGGGGGGGGGGGGGGGGGGGCGGGGGGGGGGGGGUGGGGGGGCGAACGGGGGAGUAAGACGGGAGUGGCCGGCGCUUGACUGGGGGAUAGCUUCAGGAAACGGGGGCGAAUACCGGAGAGGAGCUCCUGCUGCAUGGGGGGGGUUGGAAAGUUUCGGCGGUUGGGGAUGGACUCGCGGCUUAUCAGCUUGUUGGUGGGGUAGUGGCUUACCAAGGCUUUGACGGGUAGCCGGCCUGCGCGGGGUACCGGCCACAUUGGGACUGAGAUACGGCCCAGACUCCUACGGGAGGCAGCAGUGGGGAAUAUUGCACAAUGGGCGGAAGCCUGAUGCAGCAACGCCGCGUGCGGGAUGACGGCCUUCGGGUUGUAAACCGCUUUCGCCUGUGACGAAGCGUGAGUGACGGUAAUGGGUAAAGAAGCACCGGCUAACUACGUG